AAUGAAUUCAUCAGCUUUCUCAUCAACGUGGCUAAUGAUGUCACCAUUAUCAUCAGCUUCUCUUAGUGGAAAGGCGAGUCAGUGAUCCUUAAUUGCCUCACCGUUGGAGUCCUUCCGAAUCCAGGCAAAGCAGGUGAUGCUGUUUCGCUCUGAAGCAUUUCUAAUGCCUUCAAAACAGCAGCGUUCAUCAUUAAAACGUCGUCGUGUUCAGGCUGAUUAUGCUUAUUAAUGCGCUUGUUGAUGUUGAAGGGGAGGUGAAAAGCUGGGCUGUUACUGCAGCUGAACUCGUAAUACUCUUUUGAAAUCGAUUGAUGAAUAUUAUUAUUAUUAUGGCCCUGAAACAUCAGAUUUUGGAACGCGGCCUUUCCAGCAAUCUUACCACGUUUCAUUAAUAAGUUGAGAUCGAACAUUAGUUUCCUCUUUGAUGAUAAUCCUUUUCUCAACAUGAAAUAAGCCACACGAACUAUUUUCCAGAACUUUUUCCCUAUAACUGGCAAUAUUUUUUGAUCCAUUUUCACGUACGGAGAAUUUUUUUAUUUUUUUUGAACUGUGAGUUUUUGUUGGUUAACUUGAGAAGGAGAGACAAAUAUUGAUGAAAGCCAAGAGAGAGCUUUAAUUUAGAGGAGAGUUGUUUGUUAUUGUGGUUUAUGAGAAGCAUUGAGUGAGUGGUAUAUAUAGGGGGAUUUUCAUACAGAGGAAAAGGACGCAGUGAAGUAUUCUAUAUAUUUUUAAGUAGACACGUUUGGGCACGGAAUAGACCACGUAUAUUACUUGUUGAGAUUCAAUUAUACUAUUGCUUCAAUUAUUAGAGGAGGAAGUAGUCUUUAAAGUCACUGUCACCCAUGCUUUUCACGUGAAUUAAUUGCAAAUUUGAGGCCAAUAGCAAGUAACCUCUAUAUUAUUUUCUUAAUACCAAACACACUCUUUUAAGUCUUUAUGGUCUGCAAGGAAAAGGAGUAAAGGCAAAAAAGGGGGUGGUGGGGCCUGAAGGUACAGUUAUCCAAAUGUGACAUUCAAAUUAUUGAAGAAGGCGUUUGAAAUGUAACAAACAAUUUCUAAAAAUAACUGCAUAUUCAGUGUGAGUAGAGGAUAUAAUUAUGUGUCUUCAAAUCUAUUCUAUGGUACAACAAUAAUUGUUAAAGAAAGAUGAGGAUGAAUAUGCAAGACGUUACAUAUUAAAAGGUCUCUAGCUUUUAAAUUUUUUAACAGUUUGAAAACUCCUCGGUUCAUUUUUAUCUAUCAUUAGACUUUGAUCAAUAUUUUACGUUAUAUUUUUUUAUAAUAUUAAUAUAAGAAUGAAUAUCAUUUCUUGUAGUUUUCGAACAUUUAAAAUAUUGAAUGUAAUAUAAUUUAAUUUAGCUUCAAAAUUAAUCAUAUUAAUUCUUAUUAAGUGAAAUAUAACAAGUAAAAAUAGACGAAAAAAUAUCAUACAAAUGUACAUAAGAGAGAUGAAGCAAGUCCCACGUGUCUUCAUAUAAUAAUUCUAAUUACACCUCUAUUAUUUACAUGUCAAUCAGCUAAAAUGGGGCCAAUAAUUAAAAUUCCUUCUAUAAAUCAUUAAAUUAUGACUGAUUUGUUCUUUUUGCAUCUGAACAUUCACCUUAAGCGUAACACGAAACUUAAUUAAUGAUAUUAAACAAGUGCUUACGUAACUUAAUUGAUAAAAUCAAAUUAAUUAGUCCAAUAAUUUGAUACGAUAUUUUUCUAGAAUGCAUAUAAUUUGUCAUGUGACCAUAACGUUGAACUACUCUUAUAAUCACAUUUUCUCUUGGACUAGAAGGAAAUACAAUAUGCUUUACUUCAACUUAUAAUUAUUUCUAAUUUCUCUUUUUUGCUUUUCUUAUUUUCAAUUAAAAAAAAAAACGUAACAAGAACACAACAAUCGAACUAAGAGAGAAUUUUUGUAUUUCAGGACUACUAGCUACUCACAGCUUUUAAUGUAUUCUUUAUGUGUAAGUUUUAAAGUUUGACACAUUUGGGCACGGAGCAAAUUAUAGAACUUCUAAAUAAACAAAAAUUAGAAAGUAACUCCAAAAGCAAAAGCAAAAGCCAUACCCAACACAAAAGAAAAUUCAGCUACUUUUGCUGGAAGAAAGAGGGAUACAAAAGAAGUGGUCAAUUAUUAUAAUCUUACCUAAAUUCGUAAAUCAAAUUUGUCUUUACAAUUAUUUUUCUUAAUUAAUUUUCUAAUGAUAAAGCAUAUCUUAUACUCUUAAGAAUUUCUUUGAUUCACUAUUGGCUCCCAAAAGUUCAAUUAAGUUUUGAAUAUUCAAGCAACCCAUGAGUUCUAUAUACUUGCAAAUAAAGUUUGAGAAAAUAAUAACAAUGUGUUAUUAACUCCCUCACUUUUUCAACUACGAGUAUUCUAACCCACAUAGUUUCAACAAAACAUUUUCCAGCAAAUACGUAGAUAAAUAUGCAAUAGAGUUUGAUGAGUUGAAACAACAAAAAUCAACCAUCUAAAAUGCAAAUAAUAGUCUUUUAUAAGAGAUAAAAAAACAUACUAGACAAAUAUAAGGGAAAAUAUCGAUACCACAAUUCAAUAGACUUUUCAAAUUAAAAUAUCGAUGUUUCAAUUUUCCCUAACAAAAUUAUUGCAAAAAUAUAAACCUAUUAAUAGUUGUGUCCACGACCGGGGUGGCUCAAGGGACAUGAGGUAGUAAAAAAAACUUUAUUUUAGGACAUCUACAUUUUGAGAGCUUUAAAAAAUUUAAUAGUUAAUUUUGUGAAGUUAAUUUUUCUUUGAUAAUAUUAAUGAUUGUAAAAUAACAAGUCCAAAAUCUAAAUUAAAAAAAGGAAAACUAUGUAUAUAGAAAUAUUUUAAAAUUUUAAAUUAAAUUACUCAAAUUUUCAUAAUAAUAAAUAAUGUUUUUAUAAUAAUAUUCAAGUAUUAUAUUGAGAACACAUGACUAAUAUCGUGUUAUUUAAAUUAUUCUUUAUUUUAUAAGUAAUAAUUUUACCAUGUAAAUUAUUAUCAUAGAUUAAUACUACACUAAAAAUCAUAACUAUGAAAAACCAAGAAAAGGUAAUACAAAUUUUUUUUUAUAUAUGUCUAUAUACCUACUGCAUACUAAAAUUUGAUUUUAGAUCACUAAUUUUAUUAAAAUAAUAAUACAUAAAAUUUAAACAUGCAUAACAAAAAUUUACACUAAAAGCUAACAUCCAAAAAUCCACAAGAGCACCUUAGAAAAAAUGCAAGCAAGAGUAUCAACUUGUAACUUGCAUUGAGACAGUGUAUUAAUGUUUCUUAUUUUGGCGUUUGUUCAAAUUAGAUGACAUUAUAUUUACCUCGAUAGUUUUGAAUAUUUUAGAAUCAGUUUUAAGUUCUAACUCGUAAAAGUAUUGCAAAUUUUUUACUUGAAUAUUGAAUAUGAAACAAAUUAUUAUCAAAAUUUAAAAGAAAUCAACUAUUAAGUAGGUUUUCAAUAUCACAAUCAUUAUAACAAAUAUAUGCUUCACGGUUCAUUAAAACAAGUUAUGAUUAUUCAGAGAAACAUAUGGAUUCUGAAUCUAUUGAGAUGACUCAAGAAUUUUGCUCAUUCGAUUACGUUAGUCUUGGACAGAUUUCGUCAACGAAAUUUUUCGAUGAGCUUUCUGUUAAACAUUAUAUAAACGUUUUCUCUCAUGUACGAUGUACGGAUGGUUUUGCUUCUGUCAUUUGCCAAUUGCGGCAAUUCUCUGGCUAGAAUAAUUUUUGCAAAUAUUGCCAUGAAAAUCAUAAGUGAAAUCUGAAACUUCCCAGUGUCAUUUUUUACCUAUAUGGUCAAAAGUGGGAUAUUUUUAAAAUUUUCUCUUAGACAUGUGCAAGAAUCCAAAUAUGUAUUUAGACCAAAUUAACAACUUAAGCUAAAAUUGAGGGUUUGAUACUGUGAAAUUCCAAAAAAAGAAAAUUUUGUUUUACAUGAAACAAAAAAAUAAUCCAAACUCCCAUUAAGGUAGGUUUGAUAGGCGGGUAACGUUUAAUUAACUCCGAUUCAAUUAUGAAUUUUAGAUUAGAUUUUUAUCUUGGCAAAGGAAUAAACUUAACUUUCUAAUUUGUCCUAACCGCGUUUAAUAUAAUAGGCUUUAUUUUAACUUUUAAGGAUUUCUAAUUUAGCAUUUUACUCCUCUUAAUUAUUUUCAAGUUAAAAAAACUCAAGUGUAACAAGUAGUCGACGAUUAAAUUGAGAGUGAAUUAAUGUGAAUGCAGAAUUUCAGGACUACUCACAGCCUUGAAUGUAUUAAUUAUGGGACGAAAUUACAAAUUAUCAUCACCUUUAUAAACUCUAAAUUUUUUAUUUUUUUUUUGAGUUUCUCCUCUAAGAAAUUCUGGAAUAUCACAACAAAAAAAUUAAGCAAAGGUGGAAGCUUCUCUUCUCAAAUCUCUGUAGAAUCGAGAAAUGAAUUCAUCAGCUUUUUCGUCUACGUGGUUGAUCAUUUCACCGUUAUCAGUAUCUGAUGUUAGAGGAAAAGGCGAGUCAGUGAUUCUUAAUUGCCUCACCGUUGGAGUCCUUCCAAAUCCAGGCAAAGCAGGUGAUGCUGUUUCGCUCUGAAGCAUUUCUAAUGCCUUCAAAACAGCAGCGUUCAUCAUUGAAACGUCGUCGUGUUCAGGCUUACUAAUGCGCUUGUUGAUGUUGAAGGGGAGGUGAAAAGCCGGGCUGUUACUGCAGCUGAACUCGUAAUACUCUUUUGAAGUUGAUUGAUGAAUAUUAUUAUUAUUAUGGCCCUGGAACAUCAGAUUUUGGAAGGCGGCUUUGCCAGCUAUCUUACCACGUUUCAUUAGUAAAUUGAGAUUGAACAUUAGUUUUCUCUUUGAUGAUAAUCCUUUUCUUAGCAUGAAGUAAGCCACACGGACUAUCUUGUAGAACUUUUUAGCUACAACGGGCAAUUUUUGAUCCAUUUCUCUGUCUAAAAAUUCACGUAUAGACUUUUUUUUAUUUAGUGAUUGUGAGUUUUUGUUGGUUCACAACUCACAAGAAGGAGAGACAAUUAUUGAUGAAAGCUAAAAGAGAGGAGAUGGAGUUUGGUGUGGUUUUAUGAGAAGCAAUGAGUGAGUGGUAUAUAUAGGGGGAUUUUCCUAAAGAGGAAGAGGACGCAGUGAAGUAUUCUAAUAUAUUUUUAACUUUUUAGAAUUGACACGUACAUUUAGGCACGGAAUAGACCACGUAUAUUACGACGACUUGAGAUUCAAUAUUAUAUUGCUUCAAUUAUUAGAGGAGCUGAUUUUCUAGAUCCAGAGUCCUUUUAAGUCACUUUCAAAGAUUUUUCUCCCUCUCCUUUCACAUGAAUUAAUUGCAAAUUUUACUAUAUUAUUUUCUUAAUAGCAAACAUACUUUAUGGUGAAAGGAAAAGGAAGAGAGAGACUAAAGAAGGUAAGUGGAAAAAAAAGGGCUUGAAGGUACUCAAUCAUAGAGGAAGGAGUUUGAAAUGUAAGUUAAACAAAACACAACAAACAAUUUAAAAAAAAAAUGCAUAUUUAGUAUUGAGUAGUGGAUAUAAUAAUUAUGUAUGUCCUAAUCCAUUCUAUGGUACAUUAAUAAUUGUGAGAAAGAUGAGGAUGAAUAGGCCAAAUUUAAAGGUCUCCAGCUUUUACAUUAAUUAACACAUUUUCUGAGAUUGUAUAUGGCAGUAUUGUACUUCACGAUUUUAAAUUGAGAUCAAUGAUCGUUAUUUUUAGUAUUCUUCGUAUAGUUAAUUUUGAAUAUUUAAAAUUUAAUUUAAUCAAAUUAAUUCUUUUAAUAUUAAAUAUGAAAAGUCAUUAAAGAAAGUAUUAUCUCAUUAAACAAAUCCUACAAGAAUUCCACAAGUUUCAUAAGAGAGAUGAGUGUGCUGCCUUGGCUCAAUUAAUUUCAAUAGCGUACGAGUGCAAGUAACCCUUCAUAGGAGAAAAAUCCACGUGGCUUCAUUAUGGCCUAGUAAUUACAUUUACACCUCUAUUAUUUACAUGUCAAUCACCUAAAAUGAGGCCAAUGAUUAAAAUUUAUUCUAAUAAUCAUUAGAGCUUUGAUUGAUUGUUCUUUUCAGUUUAUCCAAUUUCACCCGGACAUUCUAACGAAGAACUUAAUUAAUGAUUUUAAACAGGUGCUUAAGAAAUUUAAUCGAUCAAAUUGAUUGACUAUAGAAAGCUCCUUGUAAUUACAUCCUUCACUAAAUACAAUAAUAUAAUUUUUUAUUUACAAGUUUAGACUUUGGCUUUUAUAGGUUUUAUAAUUUGAAUGUACAAUGGUUAUUUACAUCAGAGGUCCAAAAAUAACUAGGUCCAUUUUAACCGGAUCAAAUACAACUUAAUUUACUCUUCAAUAAUUUAGAAUAAAAAAAUCACUAAUAAAUGUUUCAAUUUUCAAAUUUGAACUUGUAAUAUAGAAGUACAUUUGAUAACAAUUGAACCUAUUUAAUUUAAAUCUUGAAUACCUCAAGAAUUACUUUUCUUUUAUAAAAAGUGUGCAUGCAUAAAAUUAGGCAGCUUUAUUUAUGAUUAUUAUUGCCCACUUACGUAAAAAAAAAGUACUACAAAUUGUAAGACUUCUAUAAAUAAACUCAAAAGAGAAAGCAACUCUAGAAGCAAAAGCCAUACCCAACACAAAAGAAAAUUCAGCUUCUUUUGGCCCGGGGAAAGAGGGAUACAGAAAAUUCAGCAAUUUUCACAUAUAGCAAAUAUAAAAAUUAUAUUUGUGUGUUGUAGCUAUAGUUAAUUUGCAUAAUUGCGCUUCAUAGCAAAUUUUAUGUUUGCUAUGGAGCUUUUGAUUUGUAUAAUUUGCUACAAACAUCCAAUUUUAUACAAAUUGUUUAGUUUUGUAUAAAUUCAUUUAUACAUUGUAAUUUAUAUAAUAAGAUAUAUAUUUGUAUAAUUAUAAGUGUAUAAGACGAAAAUAUAUGUAUUUGUAUUUGUAUAUACAUUUUUCUCUCGCUUUAUACAAACACACACGUUUUAUACAUUUUAUACCGAAAUGUAUAAAACAACUAAUUGUAUAUCGAAUCAGAUGGCAAAAAAAGUGGAUGUUUGCUGCGAAUUACAAUUAAAAUAAACUAUGGCUAUAUCAUUUAAUUUGAAUUAAUAGUUUGUUAUUUCAUACAAUUUUCCCUUAUUAAAUUCCACAAAUCUAAUUUCUCUUUACUUUUUUUUUCUUAAUUAAUUUGCUAACAAUAAAGACAUAUAUUAUUAGUAAAGACUCACUUUGAUUCAGUUGGCACCCAAAAGUUCAAUUAAAUUUUGACUAUUCAGGCACCCCAAAAUUUCUUUACUUGCAAAUAUAAAGUAUGAGAAAAUAUUAUAAAGUUGUUCCAAGUUCAAACCCACUCAAAACGUGACCAUGUACCAUGCUAUUUGUUGCGCCGUAAUUUGACUAUUUCUUUAGAAAAAAUCACUUUUUGAAAUGUUCUAAGUAUAAAAUAAUUUGAAAAAUACUUAGAAAGAGUCGCCACUUAAUUUUUUAAAGAAAUUAAGAAAACUUAUAAAUUUCAAAGAUUUAAACAGAAAAAAUCAUUGAAAAUACCAAAGAAGGUUCGAGGUUCAAUUUACACUUCGAGAAGGGUUUAAGCAUUCGAAGUGUCCGCUAACAUGCGGUUGACCUGCGACUUGACUAAAAUAUAUUUGACUAUUUUUUAGAAAAAAUAAUGAUUUAACAUAAAAAAUAAUAACUUACAAUAUAUUCGAUUAACUUUGAGAAAAUAAUUAAAUAAAUGACUCAUUUUAUUUCAUUUUCAUUUUUUAGAGAAAGGGGUCAAAAAUGAAAUACUUGGCUUGAAAUAAAAGUGAUUAGAAUAAAACUAGAUUAAUUAGAAUUUAUUUAAUUCAUUUUAAAAUAACUUAAACCAAUUUAAUAUAUUAAAGCAUGAAGAUCAUUUUAAAUUAAUUGAAGAAUAAAAGUUUUGACUAACGAGAAAAUGACUUAAGUAAGUAUUUAUAAUAAUAUUUUACAUUAUAAGAUUAACUAAAAAAAAAUAGUUAGAUAAAGAAUAAUUUUUAAAUUUUUGGAAAAUUGGAUCUUAAUUGAAACAACUUGGUCAAUUAGGACUUUAACAAAAUUAAAAUUUAUUUACGUCAUUUUUUAGAAAUAAUAAUUUGAACCAACUUGGUAGACAAACCAAGACACUAUUUUAAUCUAAUUAAAGAUAAGUGAAAGUUUUUGACUAAAAAUAUUUGAAUAAGCAUAAGAGUUGAUAAAAUGAAUUUUUUUUAAAGAAACUAACAUAAAGAAAAUGGUUUAUCUUUUGGGGAAUUUAAUUAAAUUAAGUCGCAAAUAAAAAAAAACAAAUAAAUAAAUAAUCACACAAUUAAAUAAGUUAGAAAUUGAAUUUGGGCCUCCUUUUUGGGCCAAUUUCGCUGUAAUUUCUGGGGAUUUACUCAAUCCCGUUUUUGGUAUACAGCUGAUGUAUAUCAGUGUAUAUCGGCAUGUAUAUCAGCCCUUUUCAGGUAUUUCCUGCUUCCAAACAUAUGUAUUCCGCCUCAGCCCUGUGUUUUUACGUUUUGGGCCUGAAUAUCAGCGUAUACCGCUGUAUACAACAUGUAUACAACCCACUUUCGACUUUUCGGGACCUGUAAUUUAACUUUCCGGCAACUUGAACAAGAUGAGGCUGACUCGAAAUAAUUCAUCGAUAUGCAAGGGUGGAGUCGUAAGAGAACUCAGAUUGAUGUCACAUAUAACAAAGAAGAAGAGAAAAAACAAAGAAGAGGAUUAGUGUCUAUACUUGUACAAAUUAAAAAUAGAACAACACAUCAUCCAUGAAGUCAUUAUCAUGAUCUUACUGCCCAAGAUAGAAAAAGAACAAUGCAACAAGAGAAAUGAAUUGUAGAGCACCAAGAAUCAAUUGUAAUUUAGUGCUACACUACCUAUUGGACUUAAAAUUAAGAGACAAUUAAAUGACGAAAACAAAUUAAACAAGUAGGAGCAUUAAUUCUUACUACUUUCUUCACUGGAACAAGACCAAAAUAAAAUCACGUGAAUACCAAAUCAGUCCAUAUAUACAUCACCAAAGGCAUGCUUGACAAGGGUAACAAUUCAAUACAUGCUAACGGGAAUGCUUGAAUCGCAUAAAAAUGAAUUAGGAACGGACAUACAAUGACUCUAACACAUACUCAAAACAACUACUAAUAUAGCCAAAAUAAUUGUAGAGAAAGAGAGAGCAAGCAUGUGAACUCCUACAUGUUGGACCGAGAAGGGAGCAACCUAAGACAUACUCUUAAAAUGCGACGAAAAACUCAUUGAUUCGGAUAAGAGUCAGUGAGUUAAAGCCUUUAUCACAAUCUAGCCUAACCAAACACAUACUAGUCAAAAUAAAUGUUGACUCUAGCUUAUUCAUAGUUAGGCAAGAAAUAAAAAAAAAUAAAAAAAAUCAGACAAUAACAAUUAAAUCUUCAGCAAAUGGGCUACUGCUACAUCACCAAAAAUAGCUAAACAAUAUACAAAUCAUGCUAAGAAAUAUACUUUCCAAAGAGACCAACAAGAUGACAAAUCUUAAGGCAGCACAACAAUUCCUAAUUAAUAUACAACAGCAUAGCAUAUGCUUCAGCCUUGCAACAAAAUCAUUCGAUGCCUACAUAUAUAUUUGAAUGCUAAGACCGAGAACAAAUGAGCAACCACCUCUAAUACGUACCCAACUCUCGAUUAACCAUGAGAAGUCAAACACACUCAAGCGAUCUCAAAAUCAAGAAAAAAAAUCAGCCGAUAUGAACAAAUACAAUUUAUUCGAGAAGAAAGGAAGAAAAGUAAGAACAAGGAUAUUACCUUUCCCGGAGCAGCGAUACUAGAAACAAUGAGCAGCGGAGAAUACCGACUUCUUCUCCCACGAACUUCGAACACAAAUAGCAGGCUGAGAAAAUCCGAGCGGCGGGAUAUCCUCGAAAAUUAGAAUCAGAAAGCUAAAUAUAUCGUUUUGAAGUGCAAAAAUGACUAUUGCCUCGGAACUAAGCUUAAAACUUGUCAAAAAAUCCCAUUUUCCCAAAAAACUCUCUCCUCCUAAUUGUGACCCAAAGAGACGAAUAUAUAGACGGAAAUUAGUGUGAAACGAUUGUAAUUUGAAUUUUGAAUUGCUCUUUUCGAAGCAACAGUGGAGAGAUUCAGAAAUCUCUGAAAAGGGGACGUGAGAGUAGUUGGACGUUGCAAGCGAGGAGGACGACAACUUUUCUCCGGAUUUGCCGGAUUGAUGCGACUGGGCGCUGGAUUUCCGGGAUUCUUGGCGUGAAGAAGAAACGCGAUGGGGUCGGUUUGGUUUCGUGAAAGAAGAAGAAGACGCAGGGGUUGGGUCUGGUAUGCUGUAUUGUGGGUUGCUAUUGUAAUGUUGUUUGGAAUUGAUGUAUGGGUUACUGGAAAUGGGCUGGGAUAUGAAGUGGGAUAGUGGAAAUUGGGCCUGGGUUUGUAAUUAGGAAUUGGAUUGGCUAAAUUUGAGAGGAAAAUUCCCAAAACUUGGUCUUUUAAUGAGUUGGAGCAAGGUGAUGAGAUGGCUAGAAUUGCAAUAAAAGGGUAGGCAAAUAAAUUAACAAUCUAGCCAAAUUGAAUUCUUUUAGUUAAUUCGGCUAGUAAUUAAAUAAGACGAAUUAAUAUAAUUAACUAACGAACUUCUUAAUCUCAACAAAAUAAAAUAAUUAACUCAAUUAUAACUAAUAACUCGAAAAUAUAAACUAUUAAAUAAACUAAUUAAUCAAAUAUUUAAAUAAAACUAAAAUCUUUUUUGGGACGAUUUUUGAAUAUUUAUAAAAUAUACCCAUUAUAUACAUAAUUAUAUAAGAUAUGUUUACCAUUUAAAAUAUCAUAAAAGGUGACAAAACUAUUUAAAAUAACUUGCAAAAUAUUUUGAAUUUUUAUUAAGUCAAUUAUUUUAACUCGUUUGGAAAUUAAGAAGCUCAAUGAUUAAUUUAUAUUGUGGACGUCCAAAAUUGGGUGUCAACACUAUUAACUAAACAUGUGACAAUCUAAAAGAUAACAAGAAGUGUAAGGUUUUAAUUCUUGUUGAAAUUAAAUUUAUUAUUCAAUUUUUAUAUCUAAAUUUUUUGAAUUUUAUAGUUUCUUAGCUAGCUGGAAAGCACAUCUGUUAAGCUAAGCUUGAUCUAAUAAAAUGAGUAAAGUUGGUUUCAUUAAAACAAAAUCAUUUUUUAGUACCAAUAAAUAUGCACAUGGUUAAAAAAAGUAUUAAAGUCUUUAUUGACAUUAGUUAAUCGCUAUUGAAUUCAAUAUCACUAUAGAUUUUAAUAUCAUUUAUUAAAAAUAUUAAAAUAUAAUAGUCACUAAUAAUUAUCUUUAAGAAAUAUAUUUAGCGGUAACUAAGUUUUAUUUACUUUCUCUCGAGCUAGGUCCUUCAAACGUAUGAUGUUAUUAUUAUAUUUAGAACCGUCCUUUAAAGGCUGCUGAAGGUAGGCAAAGUCAACGACCUUUUUGAUUUGUCAAACUUGCGGUUAUUCAUCUUUUUAUUUAUUUCAUGUCAAAUUAUUUGCCUAUGCUUUUAUUAUCGCGUAUGAAAUUUCUUUUCCACAAUUAAAACCAACCUAUGCUUUUAUUUCUGCAUGCAGAUGUCAAAAUCUAAACUUGGUUAGGUCUUAUUACCAAAAGAUAUUGGAAUACAAUUUUAAUACUUCAAGCUAGGAUUAGUGGUAAUUGGUAAACUUGUAUUGGAGUUCAUUCAUUUCAUUCUACAACUCUCCCUUCAUUCUGAUUUUUUCUUCUUUGUAUUUUAAUAUUUUGUUUGAGAAAAAAACAUAGGAAAAUUAGAUAUGAAAGAAUUUUUGGAAUUGUAUAUUCAAUAUGAGUUGUAUUGCUAAAGACAAGGGUAUAUAAUUGAAUAGACUAAAACUCUUAAGUUAGGUUAAAAACUAAGCAAUUUCAAACAAUAUAAGAGAAAUUGAUAAAUAUAUAUAAUAUUUACCAAUUAUUUUAGUUUAAUUGAUAUCUCGAUAUUUUAGUCCCUGGUGGCUAGUAUCAAAAUAAAUAUGACCUAUUAAAGGCUUGAAAAUACUACUAAACUCAAAGGACCAUGUCUUGAAAAUGUUGAUAAGGAAAUGUGUUAUCAUAGCCUACACAAUUUGGGUGGACAAUAAGUGAAUGAAAUUGGAGAAGACUUCAUCAUUAACAUAUGUAAAUAGAUUUUUCAUCAUCAAUUAUGACGAUUAAAUCUACUGAAUUGGUGAUGAUAAAAAUGUAUACAUCAGUUAUUUGCUGGGAAAAGAAAUGGUGACGACUUAAAGAAGAAGAUAGUAAAGUCUUUGUUUCAAGUCUCAAAAAAUUAGGAGCACCAAAUUAACAGUAGAAAUAUUUUGAUCUUUAAAUUAAACUAUUCAAAUCUUUAUAUUGUUAAAUAAUAUUUUUAUCAUAAAAUCCAAAGUAAUAUAUUUCUAACAUAUGACUGAUAUCUUACUAAUUUGAAAUAUUCCUAAUAACAAUACUAUCUCAAAGAAGAUGAAACUAUAAAAGAUCAAAGAAGAUGAAACUAUAAAAGAAAAAAGGAAAAUUUGAAUAGGAGAAUUAGCUACACUAUUGAAGAAGACUUCUUGAAUUUGGUUGAAUUGUUUUGAAUUGAAAUGAUUAUAAAUGUGCAAGAUCAUCUUUGUUUAUAGAUGAUUUUUUGAAAGAAUAUUAUUGACACCAAAUAUAAAAAACUAACAAAUUAUCAAUGUUUCAAUAUCUUUCCUAACAAUUAUUUAGUCAAAAUACAUAUUCACUAGUAGUUGUGUCGAUGACCAUAAGAUUAGGAGUCUUACGCUCUAUUAACUGAGUUGGUCGAUACUUUAGAAACAACUAGACGUCUCCAUUCAAUUUAUGUAUUUUUCUUAUAUCUUCAUGUAAUUGUUUGCAUAUCAUACAGAUCAAGAGCAUUGUGUAAAAUUUUCACACACAUGUGAAACGUUUUACACUAAAUCCGCCAAAUUAUGUUCUUCUAAUUUUAUAUGUUUUUUUUAAUAAAAAGAACAAAAAAAAACUACUAAAAGUUACAUAUUUUUUUCAAGCAAUUUGUUAAGAUUGAAUUAAUAAAAAUAUAUCUUACUUUUUAUGAAUGGAUAGUUCUCUUUUGAGGUAUAUCUAAGCUAAAAAUCGACUUAUUUUUUAGCCAAAAAAAGUAACAAUACACAUAAAAAUGAAAUUAGAAAAAUAUACUUGAUUUUAUAAAUUGUUAUUCAUGUGCAUGCCUCAUCCUUUUUCUAAUUUAAUACUUUCCACUAAAGUCAACUAAUACACGAAAAUAAAACAUUAUCUAGAUAAUUCAGUAAAUAGAUUAAUUUCAACAAAUUAAGACACAAAUUAAUUUCUUGUGCCUCUUUAUUAUUUUGAAGAAAAUAAGUUAAGGUGGUUGUUUGUUUAUACGUAUAAUCUACUUCUUCAAUAAAGUUCUUUUAAUUAAAAGAGUCAAAGUCAAUGAUUCUUUUUUAAAAGUAAUCAGGAUAUUAAGAAAUUGUAAAUAUGUAUCAAUAUGAUCUACUUCUUCCACAAAAUUCUUAUACUUAUGACAUAUUAUUACAAUUAGGAUUGAUAAUAAAAGAGGUUCAUGUCUUAUCUUUCUAGAUAAAAACAAGGGUGAUGAGACCAAAAAUCAAGAGAGUUAGCUUCUUCUUUUUUUAGUUUAUACCCUUCCUCAGCCAAAACGAGAGGGAUAUUUAUACAAAUUUUCUCUUUGACAUGGUGCAAGAAUCUAUGUGUAAAUGAAUAAUUGAAGCUAAUUUUGGGCGUGUGAAAUAGUCAAAACGAAAUUCUAAAUAAAUUAAUUUGAAUUAUAUAUUCUCGUGGCUCUCACAGGAAUAGACUUAACUUGUUAAAUGCUAACCGAAAUCAGUAUAAAUAAGAAUAUAAUAUGCUCUAUUUUUAACUUUCACCAAUUUCUAAUUUAGCAUUUUGCUCCGACCCUCUAAUUCUCAAUGAAGUACCAAAAAAAGAAAAAGAGUAACAAAUAGUCGACAAUCAAAUUAAGAGUGAACCUGAUGGAUGCAAAAUUUCGCAACUUAAGCCUUGAAUGUAUUAGCCAGCGAAGCCAUAAUAAUUAAGAGUUUGGGGUUUUAAAUUUCGUAAAUAAACCGUCAAUCAAUUUUGUUAGAAUUUAUAAAUUAAUAUACAUAUAAAUUUAAUUAAUUCUCUAGUACAAGUAUAGGGUCUUAGGAAAGCUACUGGAUUCGUCCGAACCCAUGAAGUCCAGCCUAGCUCCGUCACUUGUAUUAGUUAUAGGAUGAAACUUCAAAUUAGCUUAAGGGAGGAUAUCAUCGAUUACCUUUAUAAACUCUUAACAUUAUUUUCUUUUUCGAUCUUCUCUUCUAAAAGUUUACCGAAUACCUUAACAAGGAAAAAAACUCAUAAACAUUAAGCAAACUCUUAAAUAUUCUUAUGUCAUUUUCACCCAUCAAAGAAGCAAUAGUAUUUUUCAACACAAAAAUUUAAAAGUAGAGUGGCUGUUAUACCACUGUUCAUCUCUUUCCUGCCAAGACUUGCCCAUACUUACCCACUCCCUUUUAGAAAUUAAGUGGCCUGGAAAGUAUAGUACAUACACUUUCUAUUUUACAAUUAUUAUAAGACUACAAAAGUGAAAAUUACUCUCCAAUAAGAAGAAAAAUAAGUUUUUCUUUUUCUUUUUUCUGUUUUAGAGUUUAUUUACAUAAAAAAAAAUCCACAAAUCAAAUUUCCCUUCCACUUUUUUUUUCUUUGUUCUUUUUUUGUGCUGCAAUUUUCUAUUGAAACAGACAUAUAUGCUAUACACAAGUGUAGGGAAAAAAGAGUUAGACUAUUAGGAGCGGAAUUCAACUUUUGAAUAUUUACUAUAGUUAGAAGCUAGGAGUAUCAUUUAGAGUACCCUUUUUAAGUUAAAGAUUUAAAGUGACUUCACUUAUCCAAAAUACAAACUCCUAAUUAGUGUGAAUAUAUAUAUAUAUAUACAUCUGGCAUUCAUCCUCAUCUUUUUUUACACAAUUAUUGUUGUACCAUACAAUGGAUUAGGAGACACAUAAUAUUAUCCACUACUGAUCAUUCUUGUCCUGGAACUGUCAAAAAGACCUUGUCCAUGCAUUUUACUUGAAGUAUAUUUAUGCAAGAAAUUACUAAAAAGUCACAUUUUUUCAGAAACUUAUUAAGAAGAAAUUAAUAAAAAUACAUCUUAUCUAUGAAAAAAUCAGAUAUGCGAAAGAAUUGUUGGAAUUGUAUAUUUAUGCAAGGGCAAAUAUGAGUUGAAUUGCUAAAAAUAAGUGUAUAAGUAAACUAAACUUGGUAUUUGACCUAAAGGUGUAAACACCGUGGCCUGCAAAGUCUUGGUAUGAACACCAAAAGCAAAUUGCAAUAAAGAUAGAGAAUUGAGGUUAUUUUUUGGGUGGGGUUAGGGGUUCACGGAGUAGUGCUCAAUUAUUGAACUCUUAGAAUUUUUCACAAAAUAAAUACACAUUUUUCCUAUUUUCUUUUUCUUUAAUAUUUUUUAAAUUAUGUAGUUUAAUUAUAUACUACUAAAAAAUAUUGGACCCUAAGAAAAACAAUACAAAGUCAAUAAACUCACUCAAUAUAUAUGUGACGAUGUACCAUUCAAUUUCCGAAACGUGGCACAAUCUGAAAGAAAAACAGGAAGUAUAAGUUAUGUUAUUUUAGAAUUAUUUCUUCAACCUAGCAGAAAAAGUACUUGAAUUUAAUCUAUGAAAAUUGAAGCUCUUUAAUGCGUUGUAAGAAUCAAGGCUUGUAUUUUUUUUAUUCGUGAAAAUGAAGGAAGAAAAGGCAAUACAUAUAAUUUAUAAAGCCAUACAAACACGCUGAUCAUGUACCAUGCAAUUAUUUGUGAAUUAAACUUGGCAUAAUCUCAACGAAAACAAGUAGUACACGUUUUUUCUACUUCUUUAUACUUUUUAAAAUAAAAACUACUUCUUCAACUUUAAUUUCAGAUAACAUAUAUUUGAAUUUCACAAUUUCUUUGUCUAGAAGAUAUUCAUAAAAAUUGUUAAGUAAAGCUAGAUCUAUCCUAUAAAAUAAAGAUGAGAGUAAUGAGUAUCAUUUAGAGUAUCCUUUUAGUUAAAGAUAUAGAGCGACUGCACCUAUCUAAACAAUCUCCUAAAUGUGAAUAUAUACAAUGGCAUGCAUAUUAUUGUUGAACUAUAUAUAGAAUGGAUUAGGAGGCACAUUGUUCAAAUACAAAUUAGUUCAUUAGUCAGUUAACUAGUUAACAUUGUUUGCACUAGUUAGUUAACACUGUUUGCACUAGUUAGUUAACGGAUUAGUUGGUUGCUCAACUAUGAGCUGUCAAUAAUUAGUUAGUUUGUUAUCUCAAUUCCUAGCUAUAAAAGCACAAGUUAAGAGUCACACUUUGUAUGUUGUUGCAGUUAAACAUCAAUAAAAUUCUCCCCUUUCUUCUUCAGUUUUCUGUCUAGAUUCAUCAAUGAACUGAUGAGCUGAUUUGCUCACAGUUUUCACAUGGUAUCAGAGCUCUGAGCAAUUGAUGUUGGUUGUGUAUGAGCAGAAGUUUUAGACGAGAACAGAAUCUUCUUCUUCAAUAGUUUUUUUUCCUUUUGAGCAUUCAUCAAUGGCGCCUAAAAUCGAUCAAAACGAUCCUCUGUACAUCGGACCAUCAGACGCUUCAGGAGCUGUAGUAAUUCCCAUAAAAUUGACUAGAUCAGAGAACUAUGGGAUCUGGAGCAGGUCGAUGAGGAUUGCACUUUUAGGGAAGAGAAAGUUUGGUUUUGUGACUGGAGCUUGUACUAGAGGAUUGUACAAGGAUGAGCUUCAUGAACAAUGGGAAACAUGUAAUGCGAUUGUAUUGUCUUGGCUGAUGAACACUUUUAGUGAUGAUCUACUCAGUGGAAUCGUGUAUGCAACUACUGCAUUUUCAGUUUGGGCAGAUUUGAAAGAGCGAUUUGACAAGGUGAACAGAAUGAGGAUCUAUCAGCUGCAUAGGGAACUCACCACACUCACACAAGGUACAGAUUCUGUAUCACAUUAUUUCACUAAAUUGAAGACAUUAUGGAGUGAAUAUGAUGUUGUGGUACCAAAUCCCUGUUGUACAUGUCCUCAAUCGAAAGAUUAUGCUGAUCAUCUGCAGCAACAGAGGUUAAUUCAGUUUUUAAGUGGUUUAAAUGACUCUUAUGAUCAAGCUAGGAGACAGAUCUUGUUGAAGGGAACUACACCUUCCAUUAAUCAUGCUUAUGCUAUGGUUAUUGAAGAUGAGAUUCAACAUUCAUCAGUUGUUGUUAAUGUAGUAGAGAAACCAGAAUCAAUAGCACUUAAUGUGAACAAAAAUCAAGGAAGAGAGUAUUACAAAGGGAAGAGGUGUGACUUUUGUCAUUUCACUGGUCACACUAAGGAGAAUUGCUACAAGUUGAUUGGUUACCCAGAGGAUUGGAAGCAAAGGAGAAAGUCAGGAUCAGGCUAUGGAAAUGGCAACACACGCAGUACAUCAAACUCUACCAGUGGAGGUGGUUAUGGUAGACAGUAUUCUACUAAUUAUGUGAAUUUGAGAAAUGCAGGACACUCUAAUGACUAUGGAGGACAGAACUCAACAAACAAUGCAUCUGGUAGCCAUUGUGAUUACUCUCAAGGGACUUUCACUAAUCAAGAUGAGAGCAGGGCUUUCUUGGCAAAAGGUCAUGCACUCACAGACCAUGAAUACAAGCAGAUACUAAACAUGUUAAACAAAGAAGGACAGGACUCUAAGCAGGUCAACAUGGCAGGUAUAACUAUUUGCUUAAUGUCAAAUAAUUUCACUCAGGAUUGGAUCAUAGAUUUUGGUGCAACUCAUCACAUUAUAGCAGACAAUCGUUCACUCACAAAAAGUCAGGUGUUAGAUAAAUCACAGAAGAACCAGGUACACUUGCCUACAGGAGACAAGGUAGACAUUAGUCACAUUGGUGAGGCAUUUGUGUUUGAUGACAAGACAGUGAAGAAUGUUUUACAUGUUCCAGACUUCAAAUUCAGCCUAUUAUCAGUUUCAAAAAUCACAAGGGAAUUGUCUUGUUUUGUAUCAUUCUAUCCUGAUUUUUGUGUAUUUCAGGUCCUCUUCAGUGGCAAGGUGAAGGGGAUUGGUAAAGAAGAUGGAGGUUUAUACAUGUUCAACGGUAAAAUUCCCCCACACAAGCAAGAAGUUACAUGUCAGAAGAAUGUGAUUACUGCAGGAGCAAUAGUCAAAGAUGUUGAUCUGUGGCAUAGGAGGCUUGGACAUCCUUCUGUUCAAGUCCUGAAGAUUUUAAAACUAGUUCAUAACAAUAAAGACAGUGAAGUUCUUUCUAAAUGUUCAAUUUGUCCAUUAGCUAAGCAAACUAGACUUGCAUUCCCUAUCAGUAGCUCUAGAGCAUCUAUAAGUUUUGAUGUUGUUCACAUGGAUCUUUGGGGGGCCUAUAAGACCCCUACUAUGGAUAAGAAACAAUAUUUUCUAACAAUUGUAGAUGACUAUAGUAGAUUUGUAUGGACCUACCUGUUGCAAUUGAAACCUGAAACCAUUGUUGCCAUCAAAAAUUUCAUAUUAAUGGUCAAGACUCAAUUUGCUUCUCAUGUUAAAGUUGUGAGGUCUGAUAAUGGUGCUGAGUUCUUUAACUCUCAGAGCACAAAGUUAUUUCAGGAGCUAGCUAGACAUUCUACACCAAAGUAGUUGUCCUCACACACCUCAACAAAAUGGUGUGGUAGAGAGGAAACACAGACACAUUCUCAACAUUGCUAGAGCUAUCAGAUUCCAAUCACAUUUGCCUAUUAGAUUUUGGGGCUACUGUAUUAAGGCUGCUGUCUACUUAAUGAACAGGUUACCUUCAUCUUCCAUUUAGAACAAAAGUCCUUAUGAAAUGCUUUAUGCCAAACAACCUUUUGUCUCUCAUUUAAGGACAUUAGGCUGUCUUUGUCAUGCCUUAGUAUUGCCAAAAGGUGAUAAGUUUGCAGAAAGGUCUGUCCCUGCUAUUCUCAUAGGAUAUUCAGAGCUUUAAAAGGGAUAUAUAUUGCUGGACAUUAAAUACAAUAAGAUCUCUGUACAUAGAGAUGUGAUUUUUCAGGAGGAUGUUUUCCCUUUUGCACAAGUGAUGCCACAAACACAGUCACCAUUCACUGUUUUUAACUCUCCUUUAGAGUUGGAUACUACUCAUACUGAUACUGCUAGGGAUCCUCAUAUUGAAGACAGUAUUAUGUUGGAUAGUGAGGAUGUUCAGCAUGAUAAUGAGAUUUCAGAAGAUUUCACUUGUAAGAAUUCUCCAUUACAAGUUGUUUCUGAUCAGCCUCUUAUUGUGCCUACAGAUCCUCCCAUGAGAAGGACCACAAGAAGCACUAAAGAGCCUACUUGGAUGCAAGAUUAUACUACUGUUGGCAAGAAGCAAAGUAGUAUCAGGCAUCCUUUGAUUAAUUCUCUAUGUUAUGACAGCUUAACACCAUCUUAUAGAGGUUAUCUAAGUAAAGUGUCUGAUUCUGUGGAGCCCAAACACUUCAGACAAGCAGUCAAAGAUGAUAGAUGGAUACAUGCCAUGAAGCAAAAGAUACAAGCUCUUGAAGAUAACAAAACAUGGAUGGUAGUUGAUUUACCACCAGGGAUGCAUACAGUGGGAUCUAAAUGGGUGUAUAAGGUGAAAUAUAGAGCAAAUGGUGAGGUGGAAAGGUUCAAGGCCAGGCUGGUUGCUAAGGAUAUAGUCAAGGCAAGUAAGGAUUGGACUAUCAUGAUACUUUUUCACCAGUUGCAAAGAUGGUAACAGUUAGAUGUGUGAUUGCUCUAGCAGUGUCUAAAGGUUGGAAUCUCUCUCAAAUGGAUGUCUACAAUGCAUUUCUCCAAGGUGAUCUAGAUGAGGAGGUAUAUAUUGAGAUGCCUGAAGGUUUCAGAAAGCCAGGGGAGACGAAAGUUUGCAAGUUACUUAAGUCAUUAUAUGGGCUUAAACAAGACCUCUAGACUAAUGGAACUUAAAACUUACUACUGCCUUGUUAUCUGCUGGUUUCAAUCAGAGUGCACAUGAUUAUUCUCUUUUUACUCUUAAGAAAAAUGAAGGACUUGUCAUUAUCCUAGUCUAUGUUGAUGAUUUAUUAAUCACUGGCAACAAUGCUCAGAUGAUCACAGAAGCCAAGGAGAAUCUACAUCAACAUUUCAAGUUAAAAAAUCUAGGGGAGCUGAGAUAUUUUUUGGGAAUUGAAGUGUUAAGAUCCUCUAAGGUUGUUGUUUUGAAUCAAAGAAAGUAUGUUUUAGAACUUAUUUCUGAUGCAUGGCUCACGGGUGCUAAAACUGCUCUCACUCCUCUUGAAUCAAACCUCAGACUCACCUCAGUGGAAAAUGAUUUGGUGAAUGGGGUUACUGGAGAUGAGAUCCUUCAUGACAUCACAGCUUAUCAGAGAUUAGUUGGAAAGCUUCUUUAUGCCAAUAUCACUAGACCUGACAUUAGCUAUGCAGUACAAACUCUCAGUCAGUUCAUGCAGUCUCCUAAAAGGUCACAUUGGGAAGCAGCUACAAGAGUAGUAAGAUACUUGAAGGGAACAGUAGGCCAAGGUGUUUGGUUGCAAGCUAAACCUGCCACUAUGUUAACUUGUUGGUGUGACUCUGAUUGGGCUAGUUGUCCAAAUACUAGAAGGUCUAUUACAGGUUAUGUGGUGAAGUUUGGUGAUUCCUUGGUGUCCAGGAAGUCUAAAAAAUAACACACUGUCUCUAGGAGCUCAGCUGAGGCCGAAUACAGGAGCAUGGCUUCAGCUGUAUCUGAGCUCACCUGGUUGUUGGGAUUAUUUACUGAGUUAGGAGUUCCUAUUCAGGUGCCUGUGACUCUUUUUAGUGACAGUAAGUCAGCCAUUCAGCUUGCAGCUAAUUCCGUCUUCCAUGAAAGGACUAAGCAUAUUGAAAUUGACUGUCAUUUUAUCAGAGACAAGAUCAAAGCAGGGGUAAUAGACACUGUACAUGUUCCUACUCAACAUCAAGUUGCAGACCUUUUGAACCAAAGGAUUGCCUCAAGCUCAACAUUUGCAUCUUCUCAGCAAGCUUGGUGUGCUUAAUGUCAUGCACCCUUCAGCUUGAGGGGGUGUGUUCAAAUACAAAUUAGUUCAUUAGUCAGUUAACUAAUUAACACUGUUAGUUAACACUGUUUGCACUAGUUAGUUAACGGAUUAGUUGGUUGCUCAACUAUGAGCUAUCAAUAAUUAGUUAGUUUGUUAUCUCAAUUCCUAGCUAUAAAAGCACAAGUUAAGAGUCACACUUUAUAUGUUGUUGCAGUAAAACAUCAAUAAAAUUCUCUCCUUUCUUCUUCAGUUUUCUGUCUAGAUUCAUCAAUGAACUGAUGAGCUGAUUUGCUCACAGUUUUCACACACAUAAUUAUACCCACUAUAAUCAUAUUGAAUAUGCACUUUUUAUUUUAAUUUUUUGUUGCUUUUUCUCUGUUUUAUUUAUUUACAUUUCAAACCCCUUCUGGAAGAUGAGCUGUAAAUAUCUUGUCCUAGAGCCGACAAAAGCCCUUCUCUACUAGAAAUCACAAUUUUAUUUUAUUUUUAAAUUGAUAAUAAUCACAUCUCUCUUUAUCCGAGAUUGAUGUUUCAUUAAUAUAAUUGUUGCAUAUAAUUACAUGUUCUUAAAUUAUUUCUAGCUGAAUACAUAUUGGAUUUCUGAUUUUGAAUAUGUCCAAGUUUUAAUUAGUCAUGUUAAGUGACCUGGGAGAGGAAAUGUGAUGUUAUUUCCUAAAUCCUAAUAUAACUUGAACAAUCUCAAUUUCAUCAUUUAAGUUAAUACUCUCUUCCGUUUUUUUUUAGUAGUUAUUAUUUUCUUUUUUAGAAUCAAACGAUAAGAAUUAAUUACUUCCUUGUGAACGUAGCUUUGAUUUCAAAACCAAAUAGCCCAAAGGUAUGCUUUACUUUCUGAUUGUAGUUUUUAAAUCGAACAUUACAAAUGUGUUUACACUUUUUUUUUAAAAAGAAAUUAAUUAUUAGAGUAAAAUGAUAAAAAACAAACAAACUAAUUCUAUCUUGUAUUUAUAAAUGAAUAAAUAAUUUAAGAUCACUACUUUUUUUAAUAAUAAUUUAUAAUAAUAUGAUACAGAUAUAACAGUAAUUAAAUAGUACCACAAUUCUUCAAUAAAAUAAAAUUUUAAUAAGCAAUCAAGUGCAUCAGUAAAAUAUUGUAAGUGUGAUGUUUCUUCCAAUAGAGGUUCAAGUAGACGACCAACGUAAAAAGUAAAGGAGUUGCUUUACAACCCACUAAAUGUAACAAAAAUAAUUAUAAACAGAUAUUAGUAAAGUAAUAAAAAAGAGAAAGCCCACAGAUUAAACACUAUAACAUGGUUCCACUUAUGAACAUAAAGUCAAUUUUGCUUUAGGAAAAUUGGUGGAAUUAUCAUAUUGAUUCAUUAUUGCCUGGGCCAUUAAUUUCUCUGACAUAGUACUAUAGUCCUGGCAACAAUUAGAGUUUGGAGUAUUUUGACAAAAUAACAAAUCAGGGUGGAUAUGUUAAUUAGACUGUGUAAAUGAAUUUCCAAGUUAACUAAUUUUCCCAUUCUACAUGAAAUUAACUUUAAUUAGCAAGUUUUCAUUUUCAACCUUGGAUAGUAAAUACUCUCCAAUUAUUUUUAUUUGUUCAUUAUUUUAAAAAUAGAAUUUUCAUUUUUAUUUCUCACUUUUAACAUAUCAAAAAAGGAUAAUUAUUUACUUUCAUAUUUUACCCUUAGCAUUAAUUGCAUAUUUAAUAAUCAUUUCUCAAAAUGUAAUACUCCCUCAGUUUCUAUUUACUUGUCCAUUUAUUUUACUUGACAUACAUAUUAAGAAAAUAAUAAUUGAUACAAUGAGGUUACCAUUUUACUCCUAUUAAUUGAUACAAUUCCAAAAUCAAUUUACUCAUUCAAAAUGUUCUACCUUUUUCAAAAAUAUUAACUCUCUAAAUAAAUUAAGAGUAUAAUAGGUAAAAAAAUAUCUUGAUUUGUUAAAAAUAACAAAUAAAAUGUCAAUAUUAGAUAAGUAAAAAGGGACAGACGGCCAAGUAAAAAUGUAUAUUAUAGUAAAAUAUCCCCUUCAAUCAUGGUUUUUAAAGGCAUGCAUGAUCCGAAAUGAACAAGUAAAAAUAAUCUGAAGAAUAUUAUGUACUCAGGCAGUGGAGGAGCCACCUUACAAUGAGGGGUUCAUUUGAAUCCCCUUCGGCGGAAAUUAUAUGAUUUAUACAUGGUUAAAAUAAUUUUUUAGGUAUAUAUAGUAGAUGUCGAACCUUCUUCGGCUACUUUGUGUGUCUAUUUUUUUAGAUUUUGAACCCCCUUAUUGAAAAUUCUGGCUCCGCCACUGUACUCAGAUAAUGGAAAAAUUACUUGGAUGAAUACUUUUUAAUAAAUAAUUACUUAUUUUAGCGAUACUUUUUAUCUAUUACCAUUUAUAGCAAUACAUAACAAUUAUAUGUUAAAUUUGCAAUAUGUAUUAAAAGUGGAUUAUGUAUGCAAUAUAUAUGUAUUAUAAUUGUUUUUAAAAAAAUAUAUUAUGUUUUUUUGGUAAGAAAUUGACACAUUGUAUUAUAAGUGUAUUAAAUGUGUGAUAAAUGUAUUAUUUAUCAAUAAAAAUGGUAUUAUAUAUGAAUAAUAAAUUAUUAUAUAUUAAAACUGUAUUAUAAAUAUAUUAAAAGUGAUCAAGUGAAAAAACAAUAUUAUUACUAUAAAUGAUAAAUAUUUUUUUAAUAUAGUAUAUUUAUGUAAGUUUCCCUCAGAUAAUCUACUUCUUUGGCCGAAAGAAAGGAAUGAUUUUUAACUUGCUAACCUACUCCAUGUUACCUUUUACCUUUUGCUCUUCUUAUUCUUGAGCAAAUAACUACUCCCACCAUUUCAAAAAGAAUGGUCUCCUUUGCUUUUUAGUCUGUUUAAAAAAGGAUAAUUUUUUUUUUGUUUUAGUAACAUUUUAAUUUUAGCUUUCCACGUGACAUGUUUAAAAUCAUAAGAUUAAAUAACAAUUUUAUACAUUUGACAUAACUUUAAUUUAGGAUCACAAAAUUCAAAAGUCUUCUUUAUUUUCUUAAACUAUGUGUCAAGUCAAAACUAGAUCAUUCUUUGUAAAACGGAAGGAGUAGGAGAGAAGGUUGUAACAAGUAGCCGACAAUCAAAUUAAAGAGAGAAAAAUUGUGGAACCACUUGAAAAUUGUAUACCGUAAUCAAGAAACAAACGGGUAUCAUCACAUUAAUAAUUUUCAUAAUUACAUAAAAAGAGAAAAUUAAGAGAAAGAAAAUCCCGGGACAGAAUGGAAACCAAAAAUUAAUUUGCAGUAUUCAAAGCUCCCAAUCUGCACGUAUUUCUAUAUAUAAUUACUGCCAUGAUCUAAUUAAAAAAAAGAAGAAAACAUUAAGCAAAAGCAGAUGCAGCCUCUCUUCUCAGAUCUCUGUAGAAUCGAGAAAUGAAUUCAUCAGCUUUCUCAUCAACGUGGCUAAUCAUGUCACCAUUAUCAUCAGCUUCUCUUAGUGGGAAAGGCGAGUCAGUGAUUCUUAAUUGCCUCACCGUUGGAGUCCUUCCGAAUCCAGGCAAAGCAGGUGAUGCUGUUUCGCUCUGAAGGAUUUCUAAUGCCUUCAAAACAGCAGCGUUCAUCAUUGAAACGUCGUCGUGUUCAGGCUGACUAAUGCGCUUGUUGGUGUUGAAGGGGAGGUGAAAAGCAGGGCUGUUACUGCAGCUGAACUCGUAAUACUCUUUUGAAGUUGAUUGAUGAAUAUUAUUAUGGCCCUGGAACAUCAGAUUUUGGAAGGCAGCUUUUCCAGCAAUCUUACCA
rnacentral:lncRNA from 1 species